UGGACUAAAGUGGAAAAGAACAGGAGUGAACACAGCAGAAGCAGGAGCUCAUGCUGGAUGAUCAGCACUCAGA